UACAGAGGGUGCGAGCGUUAAUCGGAAUUACUGGGCGUAAAGCGUGCGUAGACGGUUAUGUAAGUCGGGUGUGAAAUCCCCGGGCUCAACCUGGGAACUGCAUCCGAAACUGCCUUGCUCGAGUAUGGGAGAGGGAAGUGGAAUUUCCGGUGUAGCGGUGAAAUGCGUAGAUAUCGGAAGGAACAUCAGUGGCGAAAGCGGCUUCCUGGACCAGCACCGACGUUCAGGCACGAAAGCGUGGGGAGCAAACAGG
rnacentral:rRNA from 1 species